GAACGCGAAGAACCUUACCAGGUCUUGACAUCCCGAUGCUAUUUCUAGAGAUAGAAAGUUACUUCGGUACAUCGGUGACAGGUAGUGCAUGGUUGUCGUCAGCUCGUGUCGUGAGAUGUUGGGUUAAGUCCCGCAACGAGCGCAACCCCUAUUGUUAGUUGCCAUCAUUUAGUUGGGCACUCUAGCGAGACUGCCGGUAAUAAACCGGAGGAAGGUGGGGAUGACGUCAAAUCAUCAUGCCCCUUAUGACCUGGGCUACACACGUGCUACAAUGGCUGGUACAACGAGUCGCAAGCCGGUGACGGCAAGCUAAUCUCUUAAAGCCAGUCUCAGUUCGGAUUGUAGGCUGCAACUCGCCUACAUGAAGUCGGAAUCGCUAGUAAUCGCGGAUCAGCACGCCGCGGUGAAUACGUUCCCGGGUCUUGUACACACC
rnacentral:rRNA from 1 species